rnacentral:rRNA from 1 species
ACUUGGAUAACCGUAGUAAUUCUAGAGCUAAUACAUGCAUCAAACCCCGACUUCUGGAAAGGGUGGACUUUUUAAAAGGAAACCAAUGCCGGGCAACCCGGAUCAUGGUGAUUCAUAAUAAUUUUCGGAUCGAUCGCAUGAUCAAUGCCUCCUUCAAGUUUCUGCCCUAUCCCCUUUGGAUGGUAAGGUAUUGGCCUACCCUGGCCUUUACGGGUAACGGAAAAUUAGGGUUCGAUUCCGGAAAGGGAGCCUGAAAAAUGGCUACCACAUCCAAGGAAGGGGGCAGGGGCGUAAAUUACCCCAUCCUGAUCAGGGAGGUAGUGACAAUAAAUAACAAUGCUGGGGUUUCUUAUCUGGGAAUUUUAAUGAGAAAACUUUUUAUCCCCUUUCCUUAAGAACUUUU